CAGUCGCCGCGGUAAUACGUAGGUGGCAAGCGUUGUCCGGAAUUAUUGGGCGUAAAGGGCUCGCAGGCGGUUUCUUAAGUCUGAUGUAAAAGCCCCCGGCUCAACCGGGGAGGGUCAUUGGAAACUGGGAAACUUGAGUGCAGAAGAGGAGAGUGGAAUUCCACGUGUAGCGGUGAAAUGCGUAGAGAUGUGGAGGAACACCAGUGGCGAAAGCACUCUGCUGGGCCGACACUGACACUGAGAGACGAAAGCUAGGGGAGCAAAUGGGAUUAGAUACCCGGUAGUCCCUGUCUCUUAUACA
rnacentral:rRNA from 1 species